GAUGAACGCUGGCGGCGUGCCUAAUACAUGCAAGUCGAGCGAACAGACGAGGAGCUUGCUCCUCUGACGUUAGCGACGGACGAGUGAGUAACACGUGGAUAACCUACCUAUAAGACUGGGAUAACUUCGGGAAACCGGAGCUCAUACCAGAUAAUAUAUUUGACCGCAUGGUUCAGUAGUGAAAGACGGGUUUGCUGUCGCUUCUCGGUGGAUCCGCGCCGCAUUAGCUAGUUGGUAAGGUAACGGCUUACCAAGGCGGCGAUGCGUGGCCGACCUGGGCGGGGGUAGGGCCCCACUGGAACUGAGAGACGGUCCAGAGUCCGACGGGAGGCAGAAGUAGGGAAGCUUCGGCAAUGGGCGGAAGCCUGCCGGAGCAACGGCGGGCGGGUGAUGAAGGUCUUCGGAUCGUAAGACUCUGUUAUUAGGGAAGAACAAAUGUGUAAGUAACUAUGCACGUCUUGACGGUACCUAAUCAGAAAGCCACGGCUAACUACGUG
rnacentral:rRNA from 1 species